GUCCGCUUUAAUGAAUCGUUUUCCUCCUAUCCGGGUAUUUGGCUCCAUUAAUUUUCAAAUUAUCCCUAAGAAAACACUAACCGGACCGGAAAGGAUCCUUUUUCCCGAUCCGAGGACUCAAAAGUCUCAAACCGCCUAAACAAAAUACUCGCCCACUCAAGCCAAUCUCCGCCAACUUCAACAAAACCUGUCUUCAUCUCUUCUUCUCUAAGAUGGUGCUGUGCUUUCCUUCAACGCCCAAGAAAUUGGCGAUGACUGUGGCUUGCUUCGCCUCUGGUGCUGCUCUUUUUGCCGUCGGUGUGUAUCUCUCUUAUGUCAACGUCGCCCCGCAGCAAGCUCGAACUAAAGCUCGGAACGAUUUUGUCAAAGAACGAUUGAGAAAGAAGUACGGUACACCCACAUAACCCAUUUUAAACUUCCAGUGGCUCAACUAUGCGGGCGGUGCGAUUAGAGGAAAGGUCUGAGAGGUGACGAACGUUGUAAUGAUUGUUGAUGGAAGGCAAUGAUUUUGGCCGUGAUUGAAUUGCACGCAGACAGAUUCCAUGGCUCUCACAGAAUUAUCAUGUUAAUCUCUUCUUAUAUAAAAGUCAUUCAGCAGUUGAUUUUCU